AUUGAACGCUGGCGGCAGGCCUAACACAUGCAAGUCGAACGAGUGGCGGACGGGUGAGUAAUGUCUGGGAAACUGCCCGAUGGAGGGGGAUAACUACUGGAAACGGUAGCUAAUACCGCAUACCAUCGGAUGUGCCCAGAUGGGAUUAGCUUGUAGGUGAGGUAACGGCUCACCUAGGCGACGAUCCCUAGCUGGUCUGAGAGGAUGACCAGCGAUGCGGGAACGUAUACACGGUGCAGACGCCUACGUGAGGCAGCAGUGGGGAAGAUUGCACAAUGGGCUCAAGCCUGAUGUAGCCAUGCCGCGUGGAUGAAGAAGGCCUUCGGUUUGUAAAGUACUUUCAGCGGGGAGGCGUUACCCGCAGAAGAAGCACCGGCUAACUCCGUGCCAGCAGCCGCGGUAAUUC
rnacentral:rRNA from 1 species